ensembl:lncRNA uncharacterized LOC110082584
GGUGGUGCAGCUUGGCCUCUCCCAAUUUGAAGAGACCCUUGUCCAGCAGGCCGAGGCAAGGAGGUCAUCCCGAAACCAGCAAAACCAGGGAGCUGGACGGGGGACAGAUUGUCUUUGUCUUCAGUGUGGGAGGGAUUGUUGUCACUCUCGAACUGGCCUUCUCAGCCACACCAGACGCUAUUCUGAGUCCUCCAUUCAGAGCACGUGGCCCUAGUCUCUUGAGAGGGAAGGAUGCCUACUUAGGGGUGCUUUAACGCUUGCGAUCAGAACAGGUGUCGGCUUGCUUAGUCCAAAGGAGGAAAAGCUAAGGAGCCAAAGCUGAUGAAGCCAGCAUGCGUCAGUGUGGUCAGUGAUGCAGCAGCCUCCCUCCAUUCGGUCCUAACAGUUGGGCCCGUGCUGUUUUGACCCAGCUGUCUCUUUUGCAGUCCCUCCCUCUUGUGUGGGUCCCUCCCAAGACCAGGUCGGUGGAAUAAGACCCUCUUUGGCUUCUUUCCAAGCCUCGCCCUCUUCCCCCCCCCAAACCUUUUUUGUUUUUGUUUUUUUUAAUCCCAUUCCCGGGGCCUGGUUCAUCUCUGUUUCACCUCAGCCCAGAGCAAGGUCACCUCUGUGUCCCAUGGAAAAACCCCAGCGACAGGAUUCCCCCGGGCUGGAGAGCAGCAACAUUGCAGCCCAACCCUUUCAGCUUUGCUCUCCCGGCCUUUUAGUUCCCCACAUCUGGAACAUUGGGUAAUGUUUAACAGUGGCAUUGAAGCUGUGGAUUCGGUGACUCUGCCCCUCCUGGUGAUCAGAGGAGGACCGAACAAAACGCAGCGGGAGCUGGCUGGAGGAACACCCUCGGGGAGACCUUCCGCUCCUUCCCUAGCCCUCCGAGAUGGGAUCCUGGCUGCUGGGGGCUUGGCCCGCCACUUUGGCCCUCCUGGUUUUCAUCGAUGUGGGGCAUGGAGCAGAGCUCAGGGACGCCGCUUGGGAGGCAGAGGGUGACCCCCGCAAGGGAGAGGUGGCAAAUCUCCGGUUGUCCAGGACCACCCAGCGAAGCAAACCCACCUUCUACCGGACCGGCAGCCUUUCUGCCCUCAGCAGAGGCCUGAUGACCAACCUGAGCGUUGUGGAAGAAGUCCCAGAAGAAGUCGAGGACGCCCAGCGUCGUGAGAGGCAGGCCAGCCUCAUCAGGGAUCCCUGUUGGGGGUGCUGUGUGACUCGGUUUCCCAACCACACAGGGAGCAGAGAGGCCGGAUCCUCUCCUGAGAUAAAAGGGUCGGGCCGCCAAGAAGCCAACGCCACUGAGCGCUGCCGAGGCUGCUGUGGGGCAAACGGUCCAGCAGACGGUCGGCCCCUGGGAAGAGGGGAGGAAGGGAGAGGGUCCCAAACCUCGCAGGGUCACUCCGGCGAGAGGCCGCAGAGGCCUGUCUCGGACCGGGAGGUCCCGGCCGACCGGCCUGCCCAGAAGGGAGAAAACGGCUGGUCCUCCUUCUCCAGAGGCGUCCAUGAGCCCCAAAGGCAACCACACCGAGGAGGGCCGUGAAUGGCGAAGGGCAACCGGGAAAGAGGCCACGAACCGAAAGAAGAUCCUUGGCAGGAACGGGAGAUGAAGGCAGAGAGAGUCUUCACCUGCACAGACCCUGCCUCCCCAUGGACUCCCGUUCUCGUCACUCUCUCUCUCUCUCUCUCUCUCUCUCUCUCUCCCCCCCCCCCACAGAAUCAAGAAACAGCAGCCAAGAACUGACCCGGACUUGGCCAACGAGGCCCCGCGGGGGGAGGNNGCCAACGAGGCCCCAGGUGGGGAGGGGGCUCGGGCAGCUCUGGAGGGCUGGGGCGGAGCUGGUCUAGGCUGGCCCUGUUUCAGUCCGGGCAACGCGCUGCCCACCUGCCGCAGGGGAGCCACGUGGGAACCUCCUCCUUUGGACUCAGAGGCAUGAUGGCUGGAAGUGUCGGCUCUGUUACCUGGUGCUUUAGAAGCAAACCAAAAGCUGGACCCCAAGCAAGGAGGAGGAGGAGGAGGAGGAGAAAGGCAACCCACAAACGAUAUAGAUAGAGAAAUAUAGAAAGAAUUAAAUUAAAAAGCUGCUCCUUCUUCCUCCCCCCAGCUUUAAUUAGGGCUUUCAAAUGGUCAUGUGCUUGGGUGUGUGCAAUUUCUACAAAAUAAUACUGUUCCUGUAAAAUAAAAAGCAACAGGACUUAAGGAUUUGCA